UACGGGGGGAGCAAGCGUUGUUCGGAUUUACUGGGCGUAAAGGGCGCGUAGGCGGCCACCGCAAGUCGGUUGUGAAAUCUCCGGGCUUAACUCGGAAAGGUCAACCGAUACUGCGGGGCUAGAGUGCAGAAGGGGCAACUGGAAUUCUCGGUGUAGCGGUGAAAUGCGUAGAUAUCGAGAGGAACACCUGCGGCGAAGGCGGGUUGCUGGGCUGACACUGACGCUGAUGUGCGAAAGCUAGGGGAGCGAACGGG
rnacentral:rRNA from 1 species